GGAUUUUUGGACACCAGGCGAAAUUCUGAUCCAGCGCUGCCGCGUGUGCGAAGAAGGUCUUCGGGUUGUAAAGCACUUUUGUCCGGAAACUAAUGGCUCUGGUUAAUACAAGGGCUCGAUGACGGUACCAGAAGCGUAAGGACCGGCAAACUACGUGGCAGCCGCCGCUAGUAAUACGUACGKYCCACCCGUUUAUCGGACUUG
rnacentral:rRNA from 1 species